UACGGGGAGUGCAAGCGUUGUUCGGAAUCAUUGGGCGUAAAGCGCGCGCAGGCGGUCCUGUAAGUCUGAAGUGAAAUCCCUCGGCCCAACCGAGGACGUGCGUUGGAUACUGCGGGACUUGAAUCUCGGAGGGGCGGGUAGAAUUCCCAGUGUAGAGGGGAAAUUCGUAGAUAUUGGGAGGAAUACCGGUGGCGAAGGCGGCCCGCUGGAC
rnacentral:rRNA from 1 species